rnacentral:lncRNA from 1 species
CCUUCAGAAAAUGAAAGAUUUAAGAAGCACAUGGAAGAUAUACUAGAGAAGAAAGAAAUGCCAUUAUAAAGAAUUGACAAUGAACAGUCACCAUAAUUUAUUGUGGAAUGGUAAAGGAUGUGGC